UAUAUGCGAAUACGAAUAACAGAAUUAAAAUUUCUUUGAUUAAAACCCUUUCUAACAUGGAAGUAUCCAAAGUGCAUUUGAGGCACAUAAUGCUUUAUGAGUACAAGAAAGGAAACUCUGCUGCCGAAUCGACUCGAAACAUACACUCAGUUUAUGGGAAAGAAUGCUUGAAUGAAAGAACUUGCAGAAAAUGGUUUGCAAAAUUCAGAAGUGGAGAUUUCAGCCUUGAAGAUGAAGAUCAAACAGGACGUCCA